rnacentral:rRNA from 1 species
UGGGGAAUAUUGGACAAUGGGGGGAACCCUGAUCCAGCCAUGCCGCGCGUGUGAAGAAGGCCUUAUGGUUGUAAAGCACUUUAAGCGAGGAGGAGGGUACUGGUAUUAAUACUACCAGGUACUGGACGUUACUCGCAGAAUAAGCACCGGCUAACUCUGUGCCAGCAGCCGCGGUAAUACAGAGGGUGCGAGCGUUAAUCGGAUUUACUGGGCGUAAAGCGUGCGUAGGUGGUUCGUUAAGUUGAAUGUGAAAGCCCCGGGCUCAACCUGGGAACUGCAUCCAAAACUGGCGAGCUAGAGUAGGGCAGAGGGUGGUGGAAUUUCCUGUGUAGCGGAGAAAUGCGUAGAUAUAGGAAGGAACACCAGUGGCGAAGGCGACCACCUGGGCUCAUACUGACACUGAGGUGCGAAAGCGUGGGGAGCAAACAGG